rnacentral:tRNA from 1 species
GUGGGCGGGGCGCCGGCGUCGACGGCGUCUUCGGGGCUCCAGCCGCCGGCGGCGUCCAGCAGCAGCCGUUCGACCCGGCCGGCCUGCA